GGAGAUUUAGCUCAGUGGUAGAGCACUUGCCUAGCAAGCGCAAGGCCCUGGGUUCGGUCCCCAGCUCCG
rfam:Rattus norvegicus chromosome 12, whole genome shotgun sequence.